UUGCCUUUCUAUCUAGCAGCAUUGGCAUUAUUCCGUGAAUGUUUCACUGCUGGAAGGGAGCAGUUCAGAACUUCUCUGUUCAUUUGGCUUCUCAAACAUAAGGAUCAUAUUGAUAGCUCACAUUCAUCUAUGGUUGAUUGACAUUGCAAAGUCCAUUUCUUCUGUCAUCUCCUGCCAGUGACUUUACAUGUCAUCGGAAGCAGAUGAGCUGCUGUGGAUUCAGACCUGUGCAAACACAUUGGUAAUUGCUAUGUGCAUGCCUCCUUCCAUCCAGCAUCAGAGCUCACUGGUAUUACAUCACAAAUUAGCUCUUUGUCUGCAACCGAGAGGAGCCCUAAAUGAGAUACCAUGAAAUAUCAUCUUGCCCUCAUAUCAAAAAUGGAGAUGAGCCUUUCUUGAAGAGGUGGACAAGGGCACGAUGCCACAGAGCUGCAUUUCCCCUCCGCAUGGCCUCCAUUUGCCUUUUUCCGCAUGAUUAUCACCCAUCUGUUGCCCUCUGCCAUGUGUGGGAGGGCAGCAGAUGGGCCAGAAAACUGGAACACAGGAAAGCAAGUUCUUCGGAGAGGCAAGGAGAGAAAGCAUAAGGUCAGAAAAGAAAUCCGUAGACUAGCUCCAGGAAAAGGAGCACUCCAUAGAAGGUACUUACCAUCGAUGGAAACCCCAGAAAGAGAAAUGAGGUAAAAAGGACCCCAGUCAGAAGAAAAUAAUGAGGAUUUAAUGCUUUUGCUUCUGACCUACAGAACCAUCAGUUUCAUUCAUUUUGUUGACUUACCUGUAAGGACCAUAGUAUUUAUUUACCUACAUAAUACACUAUUGCAAACCCAUGGUUAUUAUUCAUGUGAACAAUACAGCUAUUUCCAGGUUCCAGCAGUGGCACUUUAGCUUAAAGGCUACAUGAUGUGAGUAAGAAACCAAGAUGAUCUCUACAGAGCCAUCACAAUGCCCUCAGCAUUUGCAGCCUCUCUAAUAGAUUGGUAAGAAAAAUAACAGUCAAAAUAUGUAUUUCCUAACUAAUGUUUUCUUUACCUGCAGGAAAAAUAACAUUUCAUAAAGGCAUGUCACCAAUGUAACAGAGAUCCUACAGAAAUGUGUGUUACCCCGAGUAGAAGCUUCGUCCCAGUAUUUGCACAAACAAAGCUCUGCCUGGAUAAACAUGAACAACAGACAAUCAGCAAGCAAGUAUUCCUUUGAAUGGAAAGUCUUGGCCUGGAGCUUGAGCCAGACUCCUGGAAGCCAACAGGAGUCAUCCCAUGGAUUGCAACGAGAUUUUUAUAAGCCUUUGGCUGUAAGGACCGAAGAAACCUUCACCAUAAGACGGAUUCUCAUGACACAGUGAGACGCAGUGAGAGUCGGUGUGAAACCUCAUGU